rnacentral:rRNA from 1 species
AGUGAACGCUGGCGGUAGGCCUAACACAUGCAAGUCGAACGGCAGCACAGUAAGAGCUUGCUCUUACGGGUGGCGAGUGGCGGACGGGUGAGGAAUACAUCGGAAUCUACUUUUUCGUGGGGGAUAACGUAGGGAAACUUACGCUAAUACCGCAUACGACCUACGGGUGAAAGCAGGGGAUCUUCGGACCUUGCGCGAUUGAAUGAGCCGAUGUCGGAUUAGCUAGUUGGCGGGGUAAAGGCCCACCAAGGCGACGAUCCGUAGCUGGUCUGAGAGGAUGAUCAGCCACACUGGAGCUGAGACACGGUCCAGACUCCUACGGGAGGCAGAAGUGGGGAAUAUUGGACAAAGGGCGCAAGCCUGAUCCAGCCAUACCGCGUGGGUGAAGAAGGCCUUCGGGUUGUAAAGCCCUUUUGUUGGGAAAGAAAAGCAGCAGGUUAAUACCCCGCUGUUCUGACGGUACCCAAAGAAUAAGCACCGGCUAACUUCGUG